rnacentral:lncRNA from 1 species
AAAAUCACAGGGUAUGUGAUCGAUCUUUUCCCUUUAGAUUGACUGAACACUAGAAAACUUAUCAAGAUUAAUUUAAAAGAAAAACUUGAGUUAUAAUUAUUUUUUUAUAUAAAUUUGAAUGAGCUCCCUGUUUUAUUUUAGCUAAAAUUUCAUUACAAAGCUAAACUUAAUAUGAGCACAAAAUAUGCCCAAUUAAGCCAUAUCACAUCAAGUUAAACAUAAAUGGCGAUAUUUGUGAUUUGAAUAGAAUUUAGUAUAUAUCCAUGUGUCCCCUACUACUUUAUUUCUUGUAGUGGUGUUUGUUAGUACCAAUACUACUUUACAUUGAAGCUGUUCGGCUUGUAGUGUGGGAAAUCAAGGUCGCCUACUCUUUCGUACUUUUUUAAGGCAUUGUCCAUGCAUUAAUAUAUGAAUACAAGGAUAUAUAAGUUGGAUUAAAUGGUUAAGAAAGAAGAAAAGAAGAAAAAAAAAUGAAAGAUUUCAUCCUCUCUAGUAAUAAAAUUAAAAAUUUAACAAAUUAAUAUUUGUCUAUUAAAAAAAAGUUAAGAAUUUUUUACUAGUUAUAAUUUAAACAAGACCAUCAUCAUAUUGUUAGACUAUAAUGAAAUUAAUGUAAAUCAGAUCUUAAUUACGGUCUCACAUUAUACAAGACUUCUCUCAUUAUGCUCAAACAUAACAAAUUCAAACCAGCCAAAGGAAAACACACAAUAGUGUUUUUAAUCCUACAUCUAAAAGGUUGAAACAAUAAUUUCAUCAACCUUACAAACUUCUAGUGGAGUUAAGAAUAAAUUGUACUAAUAUUCAACAAGCAUAAAAAAAGUAAAAAUAAAACAAACAAAAAGAAGCAGAAAGAAAUUGGUUUCGAACUUUCUAUGGACACCAAAAUAUAUGAAUAUGUAGGACACACCGUUCUCUACAAAAAGAUAAAACAAUCCAAGGAUAUAAGAGGGUUGUCAAUAUCCUCCAUCAGAGUUAAGUCCUUGUCAUGGUCAGACACCACAUCCUUAACCACGGUUUCAUCAACUUUAGGACCAACCCCUAAAGUGCGAGUCUCAUGAGUGUUUCUCAAACCAGAAUGAAGUACUCUUCGUGAACAAUUAUUAUUAUUGGGACUCACCGCUUUAACACUCUCUUUCCUCGUAGAAGGCAAAACAGAAUGAUGGUGAGAAUUCGAAUGAACUCCACUAACACUACUAACCUUGGAACUGUUGAUCGUUAUACCCAAAUUAGCACUUCCACAUUUGUCUCCGUUGAAUCUUCUGCUGGGAGAGGGUGACCUAAUUAGCGUCCUACUCUGCAUGUUGGAAGCAUAGUUAAUAGUAACGGACCUCUCCGUAUCCUUUCGGAAACUCUUCUGUCGUGUUAGGUUCGUUGGCGAAUUUGAUCGCACCCUUUUCUGUGGCAUGGAAAACGACCCAACAGUAUUUUGUGGUGGAGACUGCUUCAGUGUUGCUAAGUUGGGUUUGGGUGGUGAAGGGUUUAUGUUUACAACCUUUCUAUUAGGUUUAGUAGGUGGCAUGAAGGAGAGAGAGGUGGAAUCCCUGAGUGAGUUGAUGCGAGUGAUGAUGUGAGGGUUGUCCUUGUAGCACGACCAGAGGAACUCGUUGGAGAAGGACCUGUCCUUGGAGCUCAAGGAAGAGGAAGCGGUGGAAAGGGAAGAGGCUGAGGAGAUGGUGUUGGAAGUGGUGCAUGUGAAGGAUGAGAUUGAGGAAGUAGAAGAGGUUGGAGAAGGUGGGGAGGGUGAGAUUUUUGUUGAGGAGUAAAGGGUUGGUGGAAGUGGUGGAGCUUGAGAGAUUGGAAGCUUGUCUUGAACAUGGUUGAAUUUGAAGUGAUGUUCUUGUUCUGGGGAGGGUUUGUAUUCGGGCCUGCAUUUGCUAACGCAGCAACCCAUUAUUUGGUUGAGAAAUUAGAAACGAGAGGAUAUUGAAGUGGAAUGGAAGAAGGGGAGUGAGUGGUUUAUGUUUGAUAAAUGAAAUUAGUUGCAUUUGAAAAAAGGAAGGGAAAGUCAGGGAAUGUCUUUUGCUUUUUGUGGUGUUGCUCUUUUGCUUUUUCAGAGGUGGUGUUAUUUGAAUUUGGGUACCGGGGACGGGUUCCGUUGGGUAACGGUUAUAUAAUAUAUACCAACAUGGUAGUGGUGGAUAGUUCAUAGUGGAUACUAUCAUCACUCCUUGCUUUUGACCUUGAUUAGGAAUACCAAGUAGGAAGUAGGAAGUAAUGGUAGGGUCUAAGUCUUCGUGUGCAAUGCCACAACGUUUUGGGUCAAUCACCAACUACGUACUUUAUCUUAGAACUCAAACCAAACAAGGAAUGAUUAUUUUUUCAUAUGUUUAAAUUUAAAGAAAUAGUUAUUUUUAAUUUUCACUAGCAAAAAUGUUGCCGACCCAAUUGAAAUUUGACACCCACUCAAAAAAGAAAGGGAAAGAAAACAAAGGUUCCAUUCUAUCGUCGGGUAAUAAUGAAGAAAACAAAGGUUCCAUUCUAUCCUUCUAAGUUGAUCGUUUAUAAAUUAUACAGAAAAAGAUUACAUCAGAUACGAUAAUGCAUAAUUGACAACCGUAAAGGAUAAGACAUCAUAUCCCGCAAUAACAACUAACUGUUGGAUAUAAGGAAUUAAUGUGUGUAAAAUUAAAGUUAACAUUAAAUUGUUCAAUUUGAAUUUGAUUAAUGACAGAAAUAAUUAAUCUGACUUUAUUUAUCUCUUUAUUAAAUUUUAAAUUAAUCAGAAUUUUUUCUCUCUAAUGAACCAAAAAAUCAAGAAAAAUAAAUCUUAAUCUGAUCACUUACAUAGCUUUCAAUUUGCCUUUUGUUACACAACCAGCUCCGCCAGACAAGCACGAGUCGAGGCAAUAAUUAACACAUCAACUUAUAUAUGUAGUGAAACCGUAAACAAGGAUACACAUGUGUACACAAACAUACCAUAUAGAUACCCACUUGUAACUUGUGAUAAAUAACUUAUUGUGAGGUAGAGUCUGCGGAGGAAGAACUCAAGAUGUCAUUCACAACCCGCUUUAACACUUUUCCCCUUUUUGUAAGCACAACGGGUUUAAGGCCCCUUCAUCCAAGUGGCAGUGCUUACUGCAACAGUAGUAGAUUUGGAGUCCCCAUUUUGCAGUGAUUCUGUUGUGUUGGCAUGGCCCUGAUUUGGUGAUUUUCUUGAAUCCGUUUCGGCAUCCUUUCUAGCUAGCUUGCUUUACAAUUGUAUUUGGCACCUUCUAUAUACACUUCCGUUUUUGCUAAGUGCACCCCUUUCUCCUUUUUACAUUUUUACUACCAACUUUAUCCAUUUAAACUCUUAUCUUACACCCUCCACGGUUUGUUGGUCUUUAAAAUCUUAAUUUUCACCCAUAUUCAUUAUAUAAUAUUAUAUUUUUCAUCAAUAUUAUAUGUAAUAUUGUAUGUUUCCCUCCACGUAAUAAUGUGUUUCAAGGUAAGUUUAUCACUAACUUCAUCUAUUGUAGUGUGUAAAUCAAACUUGGAUUUUUUAAGAGACACUUAGAAAACAUACCUUGCAAAGCAAAGCUUUUGAUGGUGGCUCCUCACAUUGUGUUGUUCAUCGACAAUAUACAUUUUUAGCCUCUUAACUUCAGGUCUUUAGUGUAUUAAUAAUUGUGUUGCAUACGUAUAUUUAUGAUUAAAUCAUACAAAAAUUGUUAGAUUUCCCCCUCUUUUAUUGCUCCUUUCUGUGUGAAUAAUUUAGAAUUUUAGUAUCAUCUAUGUUUUUGUCUAGUAGGUGUCUAAACUAGUUAAUUUAUACUAUUUUUAUGGUGUAUUUGUUGCAAAAACAUAGAAGAAAGCUUGGAAGAGAAGUUGAAGAUCUGAAGACUCUCGCUCAACGCGCAAUACUUGCUCAGCAUGCAGUACUCGCUCAAUGCAUAGAAGUCACAUGCAGAAGCCAAAUACCACAUGAAGGUGUGCUUAGCAUGAGUCGCGCGCUAAGCGCGAACUCACUCGCUAAGCGCAGUGGUCUCACUUAGCGUGAGGUUGCGUAAAUUUUAAGCUGACUUCACCUAUAAAAAGAAGAGGAAACAAAGGAAAAAUAUACACUAAGACACAAAGCUCUAUAAUGAAUACCCACAAAAUUAGAGUUUCCCAAACAAGGGAAACCAACCUUUAUGGGUCAUUCCUUCCCUCCAUCUUCAUUCUUCUCAUUCUUCUUCUCUCCCUAUCAAUCCCUUGCAAUUGUAAACCUUCUCAUGA